rnacentral:tRNA from 1 species
GCCUGGGUGGCUCAGUCAGUUGAGCAUCCAACUUUGGCUCAGGUCAUAAUCUUGUAGCUCGUGGGUUCAAGCCCCACAUCAGGCU